UUGUAUGCUAUGGUUUGUACUGGAAUUGCUAUACCUAAUCUCUUAUUUCUGUCAUUGUAGGUAACAUUUCAUUUACAAAGAAAGGGAAUGCAGAAAGGUCAGCAAGUACUGAAAGAGGCAACGCUACAGCUACAGAAGGGCCCAAAAAUGACCCUUACACAGGUGAAUGUGUUCGAAGUGAGACAAAAUUGCAGACCACAGAAAUGUCAACCAACACACUUACACAAGAAAUGGCAGAGAAGUCAACAACAACAAAUGCCCAAAUUAUUAGGAAAGCAGGACGGGAAACAAUUUUAGGAGAUAGAGGUACCUUAAAA